GAUGAACGCUGGCGGCGUGCCUAAUACAUGCAAGUAGAACGCUGAAGCUUGGUGCUUGCACCGAGCGGAUGAGUUGCAAACGGGUGAGUAACGCGUAGGUAACCUGCCUCUUAGCGGGGGAUAACUAUUGGAAACGAUAGCUAAUACCGCAUAAAAGUUGACAUUGCAUGAUGUUGAUUUGAAAGAUGCAAUUGCAUCACUAAGAGAUGGACCUGCGUUGUAUUAGCUAGUUGGUGAAGUAACGGCUCACCAAGGCGACGAUACAUAGCCGACCUGAGAGGGUGAUCGGCCACACUGGGACUGAGACACGGCCCAGACUCCUACGGGAGGCAGCAGUAGGGAAUCUUCGGCAAUGGACGGAAGUCUGACCGAGCAACGCCGCGUGAGUGAAGAAGGGUUUCGGAUCGUAAAGCUCGGUUGUAAGAGAAGAACGAGUGUGAGAGUGGAAAGUUCACACUGUGACGGUAACUUACCAGAAAGGGACGGCUAACUACGUG
rnacentral:rRNA from 1 species